CUUAUGAAGCAGGAGAAGAAGGUUUGUUUUCAUUCUAAGCCUCUGGAGGCCUGAUGGCCUGGCAGCUCUGGGGAGAAUGGAGCAGGAAGGAAGAAGAGAGAUGGGAAAAUUGAGUCCCAGAAAAAUCAAGAAGCCGUGGAGGAUCUAUUGCCUUCAGCUCCAUUAUGAAAUCAGGUACUUUCAGGAUCCAGCGUCUUGGCUGACUUCAAACCUUUAAACUAGAAAUGCAUGCACUGGGCUGAGCCAUAGUAAGAGUCUACUCUUUCUUCUAUCUUCCUUCUUCAAAAGAAUAGGUGGGGAAAAAAGAGCUCUCUAAUUCUAGGCCCAGGAUGCAUGGGCCAUGAGAAAAGUCCCUCCAGGGGUCAGCCACACCCUCUACUUCUGGUCCUUCUGGGUCCAGCUUUGUGCACACUCCUCCCACAGCUCCAAGAGAACUGGGAGGUUCCCAACAGCACUUUCUCUAUUUCAGCAAAGCACCAAGCAGCACCGGCUUCGAGAGCAGUAACAAUUCUUAUUCUGAAAAUGUAUGUGAAACCGAAAAAACAAUUCUUACUUUCCUGUUUGUUCCCAGUUCCAAACCUUGAAAUGCUUCUAAUGAGUUGAUUCUAUUACAUACAAUUAUUUUUAAAAAUAUUCAAGAUGAAAACACUUUCUGGUUCAGUUUUUUUACCGCUACCUAACGUGUCCUGAUGCUUCAUGAGCAAAGACAUUAAUAGAGGCUUUAUAAGAUUUACCUUUUCGUUCAACUGGUCCUUUUUGAUUAAAUCAACCCGCAGGACAAAUGGCCAUGUUUGCAACUUGGCUGAUCUGUGUGAGGUGUAUCUUGCGUGGAUCACAAAUUGAUGAGCUCUGAACCAAAUGUUGUGCUGGGUUUGCUUUGUGUGACAUGCAAGGUGUGUUUUGAAAUGUUUGAAUUCGUUGCCAAAACUUAACAAUGAAGAGAUUUCACAUAAACAUCCAGUUUCCUGAUGUCUCUUGAAAAAAAAAAAAAAAUCAGAAGAUUGGGCAAUACUGUGCCCAAAGUCUUAAGGUUUGCUGAAAGGUAGUAUUUGACCCGAGUUCUGCCUCUUUGGAUGGGAUAUGUCUUCUUCAGUUGACCCUCAUUCCUGGAGUGUAGUCUGGUAACUUUCCUUAUGAUGUGCAGUAAAUAUUCCUUUGUAUCCAUCUCUUUAUUAAGAGUAAACCAGGAUAUAGUUGACCUUGAAGGCACAUGUUUUUCAUGUAGAAUUGGACUGAGGUACAUAAUGUAAUUGUCUCUGUGGGCAUCUGAGUCUGCUACCCUUGUACAUCGUGCAGACAGAUAAUACAGUGUUCGGUUAAUUCUGAGAUGCACAUUUUCCCUCAAUUUUAGCAUCUCUGAAAUCGGUAGACCUCAUAGAGUUGCUGUCAGCCAGGCAGUAGUCAUGGUGAAGUGGCCACUGUUUGCAAACUUUGUCAUAACUGUCCUCAUUAUUGUUAUUUCAAUUGAGAUUAUGUGCAUUGUUGGGGAGGUGCAUGUUGAGUGUAAUUGUUAUUUCAUUCGUUUUCCACAAGAAGCCUGUUAUUCAGCCUUGACAUGAAAAGGGACGGUCUAUGUGGAAAGACAGCAGCUGGCCAUAAAUUUGAUUCUAGUUCAAGCAAAUGUUCUUUGUGGGCGAGAUGACUGCAAUUCCUUCUUUUCUUGGAAAGAGCAACCAAAUGCUUUAGAGGACUAAGAAGGGAAAAAUCCUACAGGUCUAGGAGGCUUUGUUACAUUUUGUUACUGAGAUAAGUGCAAAAGUAUUCCCAUUAUAGGUCAAGCAGUGCAACAAGAGGCAAGAGAAAAUGCCAAAUAAUUUGGAAUAGAUGAAAGAAAGUUCCAGGCAAAGAAGCCUGCGUGGGCCACCCAGGCUUUCAGUAAGAACUGUCGUUAAAGUGUUAUAUCAUAGAUUGAUUGGAAAAGUGUAUCUUCUUUUUCAAAUUGUGCACAAAAUAGUGACCCUUUCAACCAAUGAUAUCUUGGAUUCAAUAAAAUAAGGUAAAACAAAGCCAGAAAACAAUGUCAACUGGAAAAAAAAAAAAAAGGCACAACGUACUUGAGAGUUGUGGGUUAAGUUUUAUUCAGGGUCAAAUGAGGACUAUAUCCUGGUGGGAUCACUCUGAGGACCUGCUCCAAAGAGGGUGGGAGGUGGUCAGAAUACUUGUGAUUUUAGCGAAGCGGGUAUGUGCAGUCAAGCACACAUUUUGCAGAAGGACGUUGCUAGUCCUGAGGAGCAGAUACUUCCAUUAAUGAUUUUAGUGCUUUUCUAGAUAUGAGGAGAUGCAGGGAAAUUGGGCUCAGAAAAUCUUCUUCUGGACAUAGCUAUCUGAAGCGCUGUUCUGCCAGUUUUUCCCAGAGCCCAGAGUGCCUCAUUGCUGAUCUCCAGCCUGAACUCCUUUCACGCAGUGUUGAAGGUCAGCGACUGCCACAGCCUGUGACGUCAUUCUUGUAGAACCAGGUAGCGAGUGACAGUUUUCGGCUGACAAUAGAAGGGGCUCAUUGUCUGUGCUGGUCAUGGCCACUGUCUCUUCACCAACUACCCACCUGGCUUUUUCAAAAUUGUGCUCUAUCUCUUUCCAACCACUGAGUGAGAGAGAAAGUGGAGGCAAGAUGAAAAAAUGGCAGAACUCUUAGGAAACAGUAAAUGCUGACAAAGCAGAAAAUAGAACCUGAAAUUUGAACUUGGUCACGUUACGUAACACAGUAAACCAAGUACCUAUAAAGCUUUAAAGGAAGUUUAAUGGAAACCAAAAUACAAAAGAAGUGCCUUCCCAAGUAUUUCCUAGUUUAAAGGGGGCAUUUUUUUAACCCUAACAGUUUUGUAGGAUGUCACCUGAAGGGUGAGGUGAACUUAGCCUACUCUACUGCCUGAUGAAAGACACUAAAACCCACUAUUCAGGACGGUGACACAACCAUCCCCUGUCAUGUGUUAUUACUUAUAGUAAGUGCCACGGGAUGAAUGUUUGUUAUUAGCAGAAGUUUCAGGGACAAGUUUUUAUCAUCCGUUUUCUGGUCCACUCCAAUUUAACAACAAUUUUCUAUUUUGCCUGCAGGCUAAGAAAGCUAAGUUUAUGCCAAAGACAUUUCUAUUUUCGCUGUCAUGGACCUAAAUGAACAUUUUGUUUUUAAAAGAAACUGGAAAAAUACUUGCAAGAAAGAGCAUGUGAUUUAUUUCUUGACACUUUCUGAAAUAAUUUAAGGUAAUUCCAAUCAAUAAAUAGCUCUUUGGUUUAGUUAUCUUUCCAGAAAGUGAGGUGCUGGCUUUAGUUUGAUUGGAAGAAACUUGUCUUUACUCUGCAAAGGUCCAUGUUAUUAAUACACAUAUUUGGGGUGUCAUCUAGCUUAUUUCUGCUCAAAGAUCCUGUGAUAGGGCCUUGGAAGGUAUGAAUUCACUUGGGUAUUUUUUGUUUCUCACAUUUUAAAACCGUGAUAUCAACCAAAUAAAAUCUAAUUGGGAAUGGCCCCACCAUAUCCCUUUUGGUAAAAUCUCUGACUUCUAGGCUUAAUUAACAUGUUUAUUUGUAAAACAAAAUGGAAAUGGCCUUUUAUAAAAGCUGAGCACACAUAUUCUUCUCUUCAGAAGGAAAACAAGAGCUCAAGGUAAAAGGUGACUUUCCCUAGCAAAUUUCUGCUUUCACUUUUAAGUUGCUGAAUGAUUUGCCUUUGGGCUGACAUUUUUCAUACCUUUUACAAUUUUCUAAAAGCUAGAUUUUGGUGAUUGAGUUUUGCAGUGUAUUUAAAGCCUAUUGAAAAUAGCUGCUGUUCUUUGCUAGAAAUUUUGCCCUUGAAUAGAAUUAAAGCUGAGAGAUGUGAGAAGCUUAGUUGGGGUGGAACAUAUCAACAUAAUUUUAGUUUGUGUGUUGUGUGAUACAGAGUAGACACUUAAUAAGUAUUUGUUGAAUAAACUCUUAUCACAUAUGUGUGCAUAAAUGUACAUAUUAUCUUUCAAUGAAAUUCAGAAUUAGAAUAUGCCCUACAAGUGAAAUGUUUAUGAUUCCUCAACAGAUGAAGUCAAUAAUAAUAGCCAUAAAAUGUCAAUUUUUUGUUUAAGGUAUUAUUAAUAAUAAUAAUAAUAAUAAUAGUGUUUAAGUUCAUUUUCCUCUUCAGCUGUCAACUCCAAAUCAGAUUGUGCCUCUAAGACCCCAGCAAAUUGUAGGGCCAUGAGCUGUCUCUAGCCCAGUCACCAGAUCCAAAGUUAUCUUAGGUGACAGAGAGCUGCAUCUUUAUCCUCCAAUAGAACAAGACCAAGAAGGGUUUUUUCAUUAGUUAUACCUGGUUGGGAAGAGAAGAGCAAAAAAGACAGAUCAUUCACUUAUUUACUGAUAGAUUCCACAUAUUUGUGCAAAAGGGGAAAAUUAUAUAAAAUUUCAGGUGAUGGGAGAAAGCCAUUUCUACAGGUACAAGAGCAUCCUAUUUCAACUAUUUAUUGAAAUUCUCAAGAGCUUGUCAAUGAAUUAAUAUCCAUUUGAUUAGGGAGGGUUUGGAAAGUUUUAAGGGUCCAAGGCAUGUUACUAGGAAGAGUCAGUAUGUGGCAAACCAGGUACAGGGUGCCAGGAGAGGUUAACACCAAGACUUCUGAGCUCAUUUAUUUAGAUGGAAAUAUUUUCAUAGCCUUUUUAUUGACUUGUAGUACAGUGCCAUGAGCCCUGUGAAUUAAUUGGGAGAAAAUGGUUUGCUUCUUUGUUUGGGCGACAAGAUGUCUAACUAUGACACUUAUCUACAGUUAGAAGAAGAGAAAGGAAACGAUGUGAGCUUCAUAUUCUGCCUUUGUUGGCUGACUAGAUGUUGUGGAUGGUUCACACAUAUUGAGCAUCUAUUUUGCUCAAUAAAUUGGCCAGGCAUUGUGCUAGCUCUGGGGGAAUCUCUAAAAAUAAAUUUACAAUUAAAAAAUGAGUAUAUUAUUUGGGCACAGAGAGGGCUCAUUAUUUCUUUAGGAUGUGAAAAUUUUGUUAAAUGGCACUGUUAAAACUUUAAACAGUUAAAUCAACUUCUACUACAAUUUCUUAUCAUCAGGAAACAAUUGGAGUAACUAGCAUUCCUUUCCUCUAGAAAUUCCCAGACUGUAAAUAUUCUCUGUCAUUCCAAGCAAGCAUCAGAUGUGAACUCCCCAAGGAAGACAACACAUAGGAAAGGGACCUGGUUGAGUUGGUGAGGUCUUUAGACCUCUGAGGCUUGGCCUAGGGGAGCUGGAAGGUGGUCUUGACCCAAUAGAGCUCUAGAUUAUCUGAGAUAGUUCAACAGUCUGUCUAGGUUGUCUGAGAUAGUUCACUUCAUUGACUGGCUCUUCUCUAGAGAAUCACUGUAUUGAGUGAAGCCUUCUUGUUGGGACUGGCCUCAAAUGAGGACACCCAACUUAUAAAUCUUCGGAGAACAGCUAAAUGCAAGCAGGAACUUUGAACAAAAAUUUAUUAACCACUUAUGGCUAUCUGAAAGAAAGCAGAAACAGGAACAUAAAACUACGCAAUCAGCGUUGUCAGGAAUAACUCCUAGAGACAUCACCAAGAUGGCAACAUAGGAAUCUCCUGAAGUCAGGUAAAGGACUGGAAAAGUCGUUUUUCCAAUGAAGACAUACAGGUGGUCAACAGGUACAUGAAAAGAUGCUCAACAUCGCUGAUCAUCAGAGAAAUGCAAAUCAAAACCACAAUGAGAUAAGACUUCACACUUGUUAGAAUGGCUCUCAUCAAAAAAAAAAAAAAAAAAAA
rnacentral:lncRNA from 1 species